ACAAAACAAAAUCACAAAACAAGCUACUAAGGAAGAAGCAGACGGCGGCAGUCGACGGCCCAAAGAGCGGGUGCCGCAGGAGAAGCAGACGGCGAGAGUCGAUGGUGGGAGAAGCAGAAGACGGUUUAAACGGGCGGCAGACGACGCCGUGGGGAUAAGCGAAUGGCUCCGAAGGGAGAAGCAGACGGCGGGGCCCGACGGUGGUAGAAGCAAAGGACCCGACGGCGGCCGCCGGAGCGUAAAUGGCGCCACUGGGAGAAGCAGUGGACGGCGCCGCCGAGGGAAGCGGACGGCGUCG
rnacentral:misc_RNA from 1 species